GCCGGUGUGGCUCAGUGGAUAGAGCAUCAGCCUGUGAACUGAAGGGUCCCAGGUUCGAUUCCGGUCAAAGGCA
rnacentral:tRNA from 1 species